rnacentral:rRNA from 1 species
CCGGCGCGACGGUGAGUAACGCGUAUGUAACUUGCCUAUCAGGGAGGGGACGACCGGCGAAGUCGGACUAAUACCGCAUGAAGCAGGGGCCCCGCAUGGGGAUAUUUGCUAAAGAUUCAUCGCUGAUAGAUAGGCAUGCGUUCCAUUAGGCAGUUGGCGGGGUAACGGCCCACCAAACCGACGAUGGAUAGGGGUUCUGAGAGGAAGGUCCCCCACAUUGGUACUGAGACACGGACCAA